rnacentral:rRNA from 1 species
CCUACGGGAGGCAGCAGUGGGGAAUAUUGCACAAUGGGCGCAAGCCUGAUGCAGCCAUGCCGCGUGUGUGAAGAAGGCCUUCGGGUUGUAAAGCACUUUCAGCGGGGAGGAAGGCGUUAAGGUUAAUAACCUUGGCGAUUGACGUUACCCGCAGAAGAAGCACCGGCUAACUCCGUGCCAGCAGCCGCGGUAAUACGGAGGGUGCAAGCGUUAAUCGGAAUUACUGGGCGUAAAGCGCACGCAGGCGGUCUGUCAAGUCGGAUGUGAAAUCCCCGGGCUCAACCUGGGAACUGCAUUCGAAACUGGCAGGCUAGAGGCUUGUAGAGGGGGGUAGAAUUCCAGGUGUAGCGGUGAAAUGCGUAGAGAUCUGGAGGAAUACCGGUGGCGAAGGCGGCCCCCUGGACAAAGACUGACGCUCAGGUGCGAAAGCGUGGGGAGCAAACAGGAUUAGAUACCCGGGUAGUC